rnacentral:lncRNA from 1 species
ACUCACACGCAGGUGCUUGUGUGAGCGCACGUUCUCCUCCCCUCCUCCCGCCCCUCCUCCUCCUUCGCUUUCUCCUCCUCCUCCUUCUUCUUUUUUGGUUUUUUGGCCCUUAAUCCUUAUUUUAGGUUCCCCCUGGCCUGGGACCUGCCACUUAUGACCCACACAGGUCUGAAGUGUUCACCGUAACCUAUUAAUGUUGUCAAGUCAGUCUGUGAUGGAAUUCAUAUAGAUAGCAAAUUCCGUCUUCACACUCCCUGAAGCAAUGGCUGCUCUGAAGUUUUUCACCACAAAUUAUUUUUGCCUGUUCUAGAAAGUCAUAUAAGUGCAAACAUAUGCUCCCUGCCAUCCUCAGCCGAAGGUGCAUUGGAGUGAUGCUGCCAAAGAAGAAAUAAAAGAGGAAGCUUUAUGCUGAUGUAGAAUUAAUUUAUAAAGCCUGGGGUGGAGAAUUUAACCUUUGUGCACAAGACUCCCUUCUGAUUAACAGAUGGUUUUAGAUCCUGCAUCCUCAGGAGAUUGGAUCCUAUUAUAGCAGGUGUAAAACUCACUGCUCUGGGUGCAUCUCUGUAGAGUUCAGGUCUUAAAGUCUGCCAUUCUCUUCCAAUAAAUCCUGUGGUUGCUCAGAUUUUUAACAUAAAAAUAUAGAAUGAGCUCAUAUUACAGAGUGGUUUGAAUUAUUUUUACAACAUAGUUUCUUUGAACAGUAUGUUCGUUCUCUGUGAGAUUUUUUUAUUGGAAGAUGUUAGAUACUUGAAAUUAUCUAAAGUUUACAUGGUGCUAUUGUAACAGUGUAAAUUAGAGCUUGUGAGAUGCGUUUUCUGCUUUCAUGAGGCUAGUGCUCUUCAAAUAACAUUGAGCACCAAUGUAUUCAUUUUGUAGUCUUUCCUAUAACCAAACUUGCAUGCACACGAACA